rnacentral:rRNA from 1 species
AACGAACGCUGGCGGCAUGCCUAACACAUGCAAGUCGAACGAGACCUUCGGGUCUAGUGGCGCACGGGUGCGUAACGCGUGGGAACCUGCCCUUAGGUUCGGAAUAACUCCCCGAAAGGGGUGCUAAUACCGGAAUGUCUCCGGACCAAAGAUUUAUCGCCUUUGGAUGGGCCCGCGUUGGAUUAGCUAGUUGGUAGGGUAAAAGCCUACCAAGGCGACGAUCCAUAGCUGGUCUGAGAGGAUGAUCAGCCACACUGGGACUGAGACACGGCCCAGACUCCUACGGGAGGCAGCAGUGGGGAAUAUUGGACAAUGGGCGAAAGCCUGAUCCAGCAAUGCCGCGUGAGUGAUGAAGGCCUUAGGGUUGUAAAGCUCUUUUACCCGGGAUGAUAAUGACAGUACCGGGAGAAUAAGCUCCGGCUAACUCCGUG